UUCCCAACCCAGAAGAGAAGAGAUUCGAGAAGUUUGAGAAGGAACUGAGUGACCGAGUGUCGACUGAACUACAUAUAUUUGAUGAAAGAAGUGUGAUAAUCAGAGACUCUCAGAGAAAGUUCUAUAACAUUCUUCACGCUCAGAACUUUAUUAACUCCAUAAUUAGUCCAAGCAUUGCUAUGCUUAAGUGAUUGGCUGCCAGAUUUCUUUGAUGCAGAAUGUCUGAAAGUCAAAAAGCAUCCAAUAGAGUUGGAACUUCAAGCAGUCAACCAAAUUCCGAACAACCAGAACAAGAAGAUCAAAGUGUUGAAUAUUCAACAAUUGCUUCAACAAAACCUUCUUCGAGUAAGAGAUUAGCAGAAGUAGCAGAUGAAAAUCAUCCACUUGUUGUUGCUUUAUUGAAGAAAUUGCGUACAACAAGGUCAGCGUCAUGGGAUGAAUUCACUAGGAGAAUUAUUGUACAGCCUGUAAAAGGGAAGACGGAUGCGGAAUAAGGUGUACUUAUGGGUGAAUGUCAUCAGUGUAAAAGGUUAAUACCUGCUCAGAGUGAACAAGGAACUACCCACUUGUCUCAACAUCUAAAAACCUGCCACGAGAAGCCUGAAAACAAGACAGGCCAGAGGAAGAUUAGCACUUCAUUUAAAAAAGGAGGUAAUAACCAAGUUAAGUUACUUAAUUAGAAGUAUGAUCCUAUUGUUAUGAGAAAUUUCCUUGAUAGAAUGAUUGCUAAGCAUGAUUACCCUCUUAACAUGGUUGAUCAUUUCUACUUUAGAGAGUUUGUUAAGGCUUUAAAACCUGCUGCUAAAAUGCCAUGUAGGAAUACAAGUAGAGAAGAUGUUAUGAGGUGUUAUGCUAAAAUGACAGAUGAAUUGUUACUACAAUCAGAGAAUUUGACUUCCAAAUGUAGUCUUACAACUGAUAUGGGGACUGCCAAAUACACUAAAGAUGGUUAUUGUUGUAUUAAUUUCAUUUUAUAGAUGAUGAGUGGAAUUUGAAAUCCAAAACCUUAGCUUACAUUGUAGUGCCAUCACCACAUACAGGAGAUGCUCUCUCAGAUUUUAUCAAAACUUGCACUUUGGAAUGGAACAUAGAU